AGAGCUGAAGAAUGGAUGGGUGGAUGAAGAGGGUCAAGACCAUCAUAGCAGGUUUUUAGUAACUUAACAGAUUCCACUGUUUCCUGGAAUAUUCAGCUGAAUUCUCUAGAGCCUCAAGCAGUGCCAAAAGCCAG
rnacentral:lncRNA from 1 species